GGCGAACGGGUGAGUAAUGCAUCGGAACGUGCCCAGUCGUGGGGGAUAACGCAGCGAAAGCUGUGCUAAUACCGCAUACGAUCUGCGGAUGAAAGCGGGGGACCUUAGGGCCUCGCGCGAUUGGAGCGGCCGAUGUCAGAUUAGGUAGUUGGUGGGGUAAAGGCCCACCAAGCCGACGAUCUGUAGCUGGUCUGAGAGGACGACCAGCCACACUGGGACUGAGACACGGCCCAGACUCCUACGGGAGGCAGCUGUGGGGAAUUUUGGACAAUGGGCGCAAGCCUGAUCCAGCAAUGCCGCGUGCAGGAAGAAGGCCUUCGGGUUGUAGACUGCUUUUGUACGGAACGAAAAGGUCUGGGUUAAUACCCUGGGCUCAUGACGGUACCGUAAGAAUAAGCACCGGCUAACUACGUGCCAGCAGCCGCGGUAAUACGUAGGGUGCAAGCGUUAAUCGGAAUUACUGGGCGUAAAGCGUGCGCAGGCGGUUGUGUAAGACAGGCGUGAAAUCCCCGGGCUCAACCUGGGAAUGGCGCUUGUGACUGCACAGCUGGAGUGCGGCAGAGGGGGAUGGAAUUCCGCGUGUAGCAGUGAAAUGCGUAGAUAUGCGGAGGAACACCGAUGGCGAAGGCAAUCCCCUGGGCCUGCACUGACGCUCAUGCACGAAAGCGUGGGGAGCAAACAGGAUU
rnacentral:rRNA from 1 species